AUGUCCUCCAUGUCACCCUCUCUCUGUGUGUGUGUGUCUGUCCGUCUGUGUGUCUUGCUGUCUCUCUCCUCAGGUGAAGUGUGGAGUGACAGGGCCCAGGGCUGCUCUUUCUUUCACCUUCUUGUCUCCAAAGUGCCAGGCGUUUCACGCAGGGUGAGAGACGUUACUGAGGUGUGUGUUAUUCUUGUUGUCGGCCUCCAGCCGGGAGCAGGAGUCAGCACAGCUAGUUACAUACACUGCGCCAUCAGCCUGUCAGUCAAGUCAGGAGUCGAAGAGUUACUGAGAGUUCAGUCCAUCUGUCUUCUCUCAAAUAAAGAGAGACUCCCUGCAAAUAUGUCUAAUCUUCCUUACCUCUCUUUCAUAACCAUCACUUUUCCCUCUCUCUGUGGGACAUGAUACGUUCGCUCCGUCAACUUGAGGCUUAUCGCUGUGUAUAAAGGGGUUCUGUGUUCUGUCAUAGAGGCAGGAGGCCAUAAACACAUAUGAGCUUCUCCCUCACUGUCAAGGAUUUCUGAGUUGUAAUUGGCUGAGAGCUGCACUGUCAGCUGAUUGGCCGGGCUGAGGAUGAAUGGCCACGCUGACAACCAAUGGGGCCAGAUGAGGGUGAGCCGGGUGAGAUAUGGGACACCGCAUUCUUGAGCGCUAAUCAAAUCUUAGAAAAUUUCAAUGAUGGGUAUGUGUUAUGUUUGUUGAUUUGCCUUCAUUAGUCUUUACAAUGAGUCCAUGUUCUUAUGCAUUUUGUGCAUGUGAUGAAUCAUGUUGAUAGACGUCUGUAUAAAUCCUCAAUGUGUAAGAGUUUUUUUUUGUUUUUGUUUUUUUGCCAGUGAGUGAAUCAGUUUGUAUCAAGAGUUCAUAUGCAGGUGGAACCAAAGACAGGCCUCAAAAGAUUCAAACACAUCUUGCAGCAAGCUAAUAAAGUUUAUACUGAAGAGGUUCUGGGAUCA
ensembl:lncRNA